rnacentral:rRNA from 1 species
UUUCCGGUUGAUCCCGCCAGAGGUCGCUGCUAUCGGGGUUCGAUUAAGCCAUGCGAGUCGAGAGGGUUCGGCCCUCGGCGUACUGCUCAGUAACACGUGGAUAACCUGCCCUAGGGAAGGGGAUAACCCCGGGAAACUGGGGAUAAUACCCUAUAGGUUACAGAUGCUGGAAUGCUCUGUAACCCAAAGUUCCGGCGCCCUAGGAUGGAUCUGCGGCCGAUUAGGUUGUUGUUGGGGUAAUGGCCCAACAAGCCAGUAAUCGGUACGGGUUGUGGGAGCAAGAGCCCGGAGUUGGAUUCUGAGACACGAAUCCAGGCCCUACGGGGCGCAGCAGGCGCGAAAACUUUACAAUGCGGGCAACCGUGAUAAGGGAACCUCGAGUGCCUGUAAAUGCAGGCUGUUUAGGUGUUUAAAACGCACCUGGAGAAAGGGCCGGGCAAGACCGGUGCCAGCCGCCGCGGUAAUACCGGCGGCUCGAGUGGUGGCCACUUUUAUUGGGCUUAAAGCGUUCGUAGCUGGGUUGUUAAGUCUCUUGGGAAAUCUGGCGGCUUAACCGUCAGGCGUCUAAGGGAUACUGGCAAUCUUGGAACCGGGAGAGGUGAGGGGUACUUCGGGGGUAGGAGUGAAAUCCUGUAAUCCUCGAGGGACCACCUGUGGCGAAGGCGCCUCACCAGAACGGCUUCGACAGUGAGGGACGAAAUCUGGGGGAGCAAACCGGAUUAGAUACCCGGGUAGUCCCAGCCGUAAACUAUGCGCGUUAGGUGUAUCGGUGACCACGAGUUACCGAGGUGCCGAAGGGAAACCGUGAAACGUGCCGCCUGGGAAGUACGGUCACAAGGCUGAAACUUAAAGGAAUUGGCGGGAA